CUCCUACGGGAGGCAGCAGUGGGGAAUAUUGCACAAUGGGCGGAAGCCUGAUGCAGCAACGCCGCGUGCGGGAUGACGGCCUUCGGGUUGUAAACCGCUUUCGCCUGUGACGAAGCGUGAGUGACGGUAAUGGGUAAAGAAGCACCGGCUAACUACGUGCCAGCAGCCGCGNNGAUACGUAGGGUGCGAGCGUUGUCCGGAUUUAUUGGGCGUAAAGGGCUCGUAGGUGGUUGAUCGCGUCGGAAGUGUAAUCUUGGGGCUUAACCCUGAGCGUGCUUUCGAUACGGGUUGACUUGAGGAAGGUAGGGGAGAAUGGAAUUCCUGGUGGAGCGGUGGAAUGCGCAGAUAUCAGGAGGAACACCAGUGGCGAAGGCGGUUCUCUGGGCCUUUCCUGACGCUGAGGAGCGAAAGCGUGGGGAGCGAACAGGCUUAGAUACCCUGGUAGUCCACGCUGUAAACGGUGGGUACUAGGUGUGGGGUCCAUUCCACGGGUUCCGUGCCGUAGCUAACGCUUUAAGUACCCCGCCUGGGGAGUACGGCCGCAAGGCUAAAACUCAAAGGAAUUGACGG
rnacentral:rRNA from 1 species